rnacentral:misc_RNA from 1 species
AACUAUCAAAUCACCUCUCUUGAGGUGUUUUGGACUUUGGGAGCAUUUUGCUGGUCUGUUUGAGCCAGCUCUCCUCAAAAGCAUUAGCUAUGGAGACCAUCAGUGUGAUAACUUUGUUUACACUGACUGAGUGUGUCUCUGCUUCUUAAAAUGCCCC